CCGGCGACCGGCGCACGGGUGAGUAACACGUAUGGAACCUGCCCGCAGCAGGGGGAUAAGCGGAAGAAAUUCCGUCUAAUACCGCGUAACAACGUUGGGAGGCAUCUCCCGAUGGUUUUAAAGAUUUAUCGGCUGCGGAUGGCCAUGCGGCGCAUUAGCUAGUCGGCGGGGUAACGGCCCACCGAGGCGACAAUGCGUAGGGGUUCUGAGAGGAAGGUCCCCCACACUGGUACUGAGACACGGACCAGACUCCUACGGAAGGCAGCAG
rnacentral:rRNA from 1 species